GCCCCCACAGCCUCCGCGGUCUGCAAGGGGGAGGAGGAGCUACAGCGGACCCGCCAAACCCACUUGAGAUGCCAGCUCUCCCCGCGUCCCUUGUUACCUGGGCAACCCAGCCAGGAUAGUUGGGGGAGCUGAGCUGUCGGCUAGAGGUGGGGCGGCGGAGAGGCCAGGUGAGCGCGGGAUCCGGCUGAAGGGCUCCACUGCGCCCGCGGAAAAAGAUUCCCCCGGGGAGCGUCUCCCAGUCCUUGGCCAGAUGGUCUCGACACCUGCAAGCACUUUCUGUGCUGGCUUUAAUCCAGGCAGACCCUGAGUAGCCAACAUCCCUCCUUCCGCUAAGCUGGGGAGCAGAGUCUCCGCAAGUUCCUCUGCGUUGUUAUCUAUGGGCCAGUCCAGCCAGCCAGCAGGCAUUCGUGCUCCAAACAGAAGACUCCCCAAGGAACUCCGACAGCCGAUCUGCACUCCAGUAAGACUUUCUCCGCACUUUCCCCCCAAACCAAAAAUUUCUGACAAUAUUCGGAAUCUUUCUCAAGUACAAAGCCUGUUUCUUCUAUUAUAUCUUCGAGAUGAAAAACCUGCACAGAAAAAGGCAUAUAAACGCUGCCACUACUACCACUUUCAAUGGCUUCAUGUUAUGGGUGGAGAAAACUGAGUAUCAGCCUAUAUCGCAAGUUAACAGCAGAUGAGAAACACCAAAGAACCAGGUAGAGAAGAGGGCUGCAACGGAGGUGACAUAGUGGCUUGUAUUUGAGGAGACUGGAAUUUUGGCCUAUUUUUAGGUUGUUGCUCUUCAAAUUCCUGACUGAAUCCUUCAGGAAGUGCAUCUUAAAAGAAAUUGAAAUGAAUAAAUAUGUACCUCACACACAAAA